AAAAAGACAAACCCUGGGUUUCCGUGUCCAACGUUUGACCGUCCAUCUUAUUUGAAAAAAUUAUGAAAAAAAUUAAAAAGAUAAGUCACACAUAAAGUAUUAAUCAUGUUUUAUCAUAUAACAGCAAUAAAAAUACUGAUUAUAAAAAAAUUUCAUAUAAAACGGACAGUCAAACGUUGGACAUGGAAACCCAGGGUUUGUCUUUUU
rnacentral:pre_miRNA from 1 species